UUCGCUACCGAUCUUGGUGAGGGAAACGGACGGAACGACGAGAUCUGAGAGACUAUCCAAGAACGGUAAGGUUGUUACCGAACCUCUUUUCGACGCUCGAAACUCAUCGUGUGACUAAGCAAAAAUCAAGAAAAUAAUAUUGGCACGUAGGUUGAUAGAUGAUCUAUAACUUUGUUGAAGAAACCACCUCUGUUUGGGUUAAGAAUCGAAAGAUAGAAAAUGGAAAGAAACCUCGGAAAAACUAAUCGGAAGCCUUGAUUUUCUGGUAGGAGGAGAGAGAAGCCGCCGGCGUGCCACGCGUCAACCAACCAGAGGGCCGCGUGCGCCAAUCGCCCCCGGACACGCGUCGAGCGCCGCCUGGGAAAACGCGGCUCCAGCGCUCCUGCGACACGCGUCCCUGGCUCCGCGACCCGACCCGCGCUCCUUGGCUGACCCGAUACCCGCACGGCGAACCGAAUCCAGUUGACGACCCGCGGUCCACCCGAAUCACCGCUUCCGACCCGAACCCGCGACCCGCGACUGCAGGAAUUUCUGGGCGCGUGACACUCGCGCGUGGAACCCGCGAGUGGCUGCUCCCCAGCGCGUGACUGGCGCGUGGAGGCGCGUGACCUUAUUGAGGAAAAAUCACCCCCUCUCGUUACGCCAAGUGUGUGGAAACGCUGCGUAAGGGCACGUAGCAUCCAAGUAAGUCGCCACACGGAAUUUAGGAAGUAAUACUUGUAGGAACCGCUUGGGAUGCAUGCAUGCUAGUCUGAAUAUUUUAGGUUGUAGCUUUCCCGUAAAUGUUCGUAGGAAAUAGUUUAUUGAACGUAAGAUGUAUGCUGUGAUUUGUUAUGAGAGUUACUUGGAUACUGCUUAUAUGCUCUUAAUUCCCACUUUAUUUUAUGCAUAUGUAUAUCUUUUUGCUGAAUGGAGAAUGGAAAAUUUGCGAACUCUGUGCUCCGGGAAUUGAUGGAUGUUAUCACCCCGUCGAGCUUGUAUGAUUACUUUGCAUGAAAUAUGUUUGAGGUUUUUGGAUAAUAGUUAUGUACGUACUCGGUUAUUUUUAGGGCCACCUUUAUGAAUAAGACUAGAAGACAAUGGUUAGAGCGACAAACCAUCAAGGGAUCGACUUAACCUUUCCCUAUUAGUUUAUCAGACCAUCACGGCACAUGAAACAUCCUUAGAGUACCCUUAAGCUACUUGUGUGUGGAUGGUGAUAUAGCUUCGUGGGGGACCAGCGGGUUCCUGAUCAGGACUCGACUGCUCGAUAGCCGUUUAGUAUGGGAAACGGGAUACCCACGUCGUAAUUGACCGUUUAGCUGGAUGGAAUAGGGGAGGUAGCCCUCCCAAAUACAGGGGGAUUAUCAUGGGUCUAGGGGGUUGCAGCUCACUUCCUAGGCAAGACCCCAGAUAAUCUCAUACCCAUGCCGAGGUAGCCACUCGUAAGGCACCAGUCCAACACAGGUUAGCAUAAAA